GUAAUUUUUGGGCAGGUUAAUACAUCAAUAUAUAAUAUAAGGGAAAAUAAAGUCUGACAUUUCUAAGUGGAAAUUCCAAAUACAUGUUAAACCUAAAAUACACUACACAUUUUAAAUGUCCUGCAUUGCAGAAAAGUUCUGCAACAGGGUGAUCAAAUUAAAAUCCUACACCUGUAAAAUGGGUCAGAUUUAAGGUGUGACCCCUAAGGGUCCUAUGUAGGGAACAGGGUGCCAGGUGCCAUUAGAGACGGACCCCUAGGGGCCCUAUGUAGGGAACAGGGUGCCAUUAGAGACCAUCCCCUAAGGGCCCUAUGUAGGGAACAGGGUUCCAUUAGAGACUGACACCUAAGGGCCCUAUGUAGGGAACAGGGUCCCAUUAGAGACUGACCCCUAAGGGCCCUAUGUAGGGAAGAGGGUGCCAUUAGAGACUGACCCAUGGUUCCUCUCCUCCCUGGCCAUUAGAGACUGACCCAUAGUUCCUCUCUCUUCCCUGGCCAUUAGAGACUGACCCAUGGUUCCUCUCUCCUUCCUGGCCAUUAGAGACUGACCCAUGGUUCCUUUCUGGACACAUCUGUUUUCAUCUUCACACGACCCUCACAGCUCUAUUUUUCCAGUGAGAUAUACAGCUAGAGCUAUUUUUCAAUGUCAAAAUGUACUAAUAUACUGUUACGGACCAAAAACGUUGUUAGUUAGUGUGCGGUUAACUAGUAGUAGUAGUGCCCAGAAUAGAGCCAGCUGUGUGUAAGGCUCUAAGGGAAAACAGAAUAGAACCAGCUGUGUAUAAGGCUCUAAGGGAAAACAGAAUAGAACCAGCAGUGUCUAAGGCUCUAAGGGAAAACAGAAUAGAACCAGCUGUGUGUAAGGCUCUAAGGGAAAACAGAAUAGAACCAGCUGUGUAUAAGGCUCUAAGGGAAAACAGAAUAGAACCAGCAGUGUAUAAGGCUCUAAGGGAAAACAGAAUAGAACCAGCAGUGUCUAAGGCUCUAAGGGAAAACAGAAUAGAACCAGCAGUGUGUAAGGCUCUAAGGGAAAACAGAAUAGAACCAGCAGUGUCUAAGGGAAAACAGAAUAGAACCAGCAGUGUAUAAGGCUCUAAGGGAAAACAGAAUAGAACCAGCUGUGUGUAAGGCUCUAAGGGAAAACAGAAUAGAACCAGCUGUGUGUAAGGCUCUAAGGGAAAACAGAAUAGAACCAGCAGUGUCUAAGGGAAAACAGAAUAGAACCAGCAGUGUGUAAGGCUCUAAGGGAAAACAGAAUAGAACCAGCAGUGUAUAAGGCUCUAAGGGAAAACAGAAUAGAACCAGCAGUGUAUAAGGCUCUAAGGGAAAACAGAAUAGAACCAGCAGUGUAUAAGGCUCUAGGGAAAACAGAAUAGAACCAGCUGUGUGUAAGGCUCUAAGGGAAAACAGAAUAGAACCAGCAGUGUCUAAGGGAAAACAGAAUAGAACCAGCUGUGUGUAAGGGAAAACAGAAUAGAACCAGCAGUGUGUAAGGCUCUAAGGGAAAACAGAAUAGAACCAGCAGUGUCUAAGGGAAAACAGAAUAGAACCAGCUGUGUGUAAGGCAUGUAAUGCGACUGCGUUGCCGUUAGUCGUCAGUGCAGACGCCCGUCUCUCCUAAGACCAGGAAUGCACUUCAUACAUUUUUUUUAUUUUUUAUUUAUUUAACCUUUAUUUAACUAGGCAAGAUCAGUUAAGAACAAAUUCUUAUUUUCAAUGACGGCCUGGGAACAGUGGGUUAACU
ensembl:lncRNA